GCCAGUGUGGUAUAGUGGUUUGAGCAUUGGACUAUGACUCCGGAGACCAGGGUUUGAAUCCCUGCUCAGCCA